rnacentral:rRNA from 1 species
UGGGGAAUAUUGGACAAUGGACCAAGAGUCUGAUCCAGCAAUUCUGUGUGCACGAUGAAGUUUUUCGGAAUGUAAAGUGCUUUCAGUUGGGAAGAAAGAAAUGACGGUACCAACAGAAGAAGUGACGGCUAAAUACGUGCCAGCAGCCGCGGUAAUACGUAUGUCACGAGCGUUAUCCGGAUUUAUUGGGCGUAAAGCGCGUCUAGGUGGUUAUGUAAGUCUGAUGUGAAAAUGCAGGGCUCAACUCUGUAUUGCGUUGGAAACUGUAUAACUAGAGUACUGGAGAGGUAAGCGGAACUACAAGUGUAGAGGUGAAAUUCGUAGAUAUUUGUAGGAAUGCCGAUGGGGAAGCCAGCUUACUGGACAGAUACUGACGCUGAAGCGCGAAAGCGUGGGUAGCAAACAGGAUUAGACACCCUGGUAGUCCACGCCGUAAACGAUGAUUACUAGGUGUUGGGGGUCGAACCUCAGCGCCCAAGCAAACGCGAUAAGUAAUCCGCCUGGGGAGUACGUACGCAAGUAUG